ACGACCGAUUUAGAAAUUUCGUCGAAUUUGGCUCGCCGGGUUUCCUAGCAGUGUGCUAACCGCUGCACCACCGCUCCCCCGUCAUCCACAUAUAUACACAGACACACAGCCGCACACGGUCACACACAGAAGUCACACACAGAAGUCACACACGCCCAUUUAGAAGAAGGAGCGACGCAGCCUGGCCUCUGCGAGUAUUGCAUCGCGGCCGCGACCUCCAGCAAGCGACGGUGGAGACAUAACACACGGAGGGCACAAGAUGAAUCCCAGCAAGAGCGCUUCCUCCGGCGUCGGGGCCGACGCCAAAGAGACCAAGAGCGCCGGACACGACGGAGUGGAGGUGGAGCACAUGGACGGGGAGCCCGCUGCUAACGGGGGCCCCGAGAAGUUUUUCGGCCUCUCAACGAAGGAGUGGGGCCUGGUGGCCCUGGGGCUCCUGGCGGUCGUUGGACUCGCCGUGUACGUCAAGCGGCGCGACUGAGACCAAGCCGAUCCUGCCGCUCCCACCCCCUCCCUCCCUCCCACACCGACCUCCCGACCGAGAUGCAAUCGUCCGGAGACGAGGAGACCCUCGCCACGCACGCACGAGACGGCCGCGCGUCGUCGUCAGCCGUCGUCGCCCCAGUUGUCAACACUUAGCGGAGUAGCUGCGGCAGCGUUGCCCUCCACCGAUCGUUAUUGGAGUGCCUCGGCCGGUGCGAGUGGUAAUGGGUUUACACGGAAUGUGUGUGUGUGUGCGUGCGGCUCACACGCAGGCACGACGGGCUUCGUCUAUAAUAUAGGGGUUUUUUGUGUUGGGUUAGAUCGCGUAAAUAUAUAAAUGUGUCGUGAAACCCGCCACCACCCAACACAGCCAAUUAGUAAGGUUUGUCACGUAAAACAAACAUGGCAAUUCGUUACUAGUUCAGCACACCGGUUGUGUGUUGGAGAGUAAACCCACGACAACGUUUACAAUUCGAGUAGCGUGACGUUUCGCCGCCGGUAAUUACAACAACAAGCAGCCUCAUCAGGCGACAGCCAGAAUUGUGCAGAUAUCCUCCUGCUGUUUCGGGUUUAAUGACACAUUUAUAUUUAUGCGAUCUAACCCCCCAAAAAAACCUUUUAUCAUGGAAAAUAUUGGUCACGAACGCCUACUGCGCGUUGAACAGGCAUCAUCACCGUAGUGAAAAUGUAAUUCGUAACACGCACAAUUGAAGUAAUAUAUUUGACCGUGAUUCGGUGGCACGGAGCCAAAGUUGGUGUCGCUCAGGCGAGAGACCACGGCAUACGAUCGCCAAGUCGCGUGUACGACGUUCUCAGCCUUGUCCAGACCACCAACUCAAGGGCUGAACGUUUGGCCGCAUUGCUGCCUGUGCGCCUGCACGCACUAACAUGCUCUGUCGUGGGGGUUUUUCUUCAUUUACAGAGGGUGUUGGAUCUGAGUAAAGCCCCUUGACAAUUAAUCGAUUAAUGGAUCAAUGUUUAUUGUUAAAAUCAUGAUCCAUGCAUCAAAGGGUCCAUGUAAGAAUAGGUAACAGACCAAAAGUAAAGGUAUAAUGAUGCAUCAAUUAAUAGCAAUAUCAGUUCUUAAGCACACGAUACGCGCAAUAAUGAAUCGCGGCUGUAAGAACUGAUGUUUCACAAUUUGUGUACAGUGCAGUACUGAUUAUCUUGUUGCUGAUAGGUUUAAUGUGACCCCUGCAGCCACCAUGGGUGCAAUGUAAAAAAUUAAUUGAUUUUUUUAUCUAAUCAGGACUCUGAAUCGCAACAAUCCAUCACUCAAUUAAACCCCUAUUUUAAACAAUUACGUAAAAAGUAUAUAUAUGAACAUUUAAUGUAUCAGUCUCAUCAGGUAGCUGUGGCCUGAUAAACUGAUGCUCCAAUUGUCACAGACAGGAGAACUGCUAUUCAUUUUCAUUGGGUCUCAUCAGCAAGCUGUAGCCUCACAAUCCAGUGGCCCAUGUGUGCCCUCCAGUAUCGCACGCUGGGGGAGAGACAUCCCCACACAGCCAAUGUCCACCGCCAAGCAUUCGGCCAAAAUUGCUCUUGCUCUAUUUUAUCAUUGCGCAGAAAAUAAUGAUAAAAAAGUGAAGUUGACACGAGGCAUCCCGGCAUACUUCCUGUGUGCAUUCUCACGUGACAGAUAGCCCAGCUGUUAAGUCAGAGGUUGACCUCAGUGUCUGAGCAGUAAACCCACUCAAAUAGUUACACACGCAUUUAACACACCGUAAAAUAUUGUAAAUUGUCGUAGCUACGAACACUCACUUAACCCAAGUCCACUGUGGACCAAUAAAUGGAAGUGUAUUCUA